GACGAACUCUGGCGGCGUGCUUAACACAUGCAAGUCGAACGGAAAGGCCCUGCUUUUGUGGGGUGCUCGAGUGGCGAACGGGUGAGUAACACGUGAGUAACCUGCCCUUGACUUUGGGAUAACUUCAGGAAACUGGGGCUAAUACCGGAUAGGAGCUCCUGCUGCAUGGUGGGGGUUGGAAAGUUUCGGCGGUUGGGGAUGGACUCGCGGCUUAUCAGCUUGUUGGUGGGGUAGUGGCUUACCAAGGCUUUGACGGGUAGCCGGCCUGAGAGGGUGACCGGCCACAUUGGGACUGAGAUACGGCCCAGACUCCUACGGGAGGCAGCAGUGGGGAAUAUUGCACAAUGGGCGGAAGCCUGAUGCAGCAACGCCGCGUGCGGGAUGACGGCCUUCGGGUUGUAAACCGCUUUCGCCUGUGACGAAGCGUGAGUGACGGUAAUGGAUAAAGAAGCACCGGCUAACUACGUGCCAGCAGCCGCGGUGAUACGUAGGGUGCGAGCGUUGUCCGGAUUUAUUGGGCGUAAAGGGCUCGUAGGUGGUUGAUCGCGUCGGAAGUGUAAUCUUGGGGCUUAACCCUGAGCGUGCUUUCGAUACGGGUUGACUUGAGGAAGGUAGGGGAGAAUGGAAUUCCUGGUGGAGCGGUGGAAUGCGCAGAUAUCAGGAGGAACACCAGUGGCGAAGGCGGUUCUCUGGGCCUUUCCUGACGCUGAGGAGCGAAAGCGUGGGGAGCGAACAGGCUUAGAUACCCUGGUAGUCCACGCUGUAAACGGUGGGUACUAGGUGUGGGGUCCAUUCCACGGGUUCCGUGCCGUAGCUAACGCUUUAAGUACCCCGCCUGGGGAGUACGGCCGCAAGGCUAAAACUCAAAGGAAUUGACGGGGCCCCGCACAAGCGGCGGAGCAUGCGGAUUAAUUCGAUGCAACGCGUAGAACCUUACCUGGGUUUGACAUGGAUCGGGAGUGCUCAGAGAUGGGUGUGCCUCUUUUGGGGUCGGUUCACAGGUGGUGCAUGCCUGUCGUCAGCUCGUAUCGUGAGAUGUUGGGUUAAGUCCCGCAACGAGCGCAACCCUUGUUCACUGUUGCCAGCACGUUAUGGUGGGGACUCAGUGGAGACCGCCGGGGUCAACUCGGAGGAAGGUGGGGAUGACGUCAAGUCCUCAUGCCCCUUAUGUCCAGGGCUUCACGCAUGCUACAAUGGCUGGUACAGAGAGUGGCGAGCCUGUGAGGGUGAGCGAAUCUCGGAAAGCCGGUCUCAGUUCGGAUUGGGGUCUGCAACUCGACCUCAUGAAGUCGGAGUCGCUAGUAAUCGCAGAUCAGCAACGCUGCGGUGAAUACGUUCCCGGGGGCU
rnacentral:rRNA from 1 species